rnacentral:lncRNA from 1 species
GUCUGUUGUUGUCUCGGCGGUGCAAUCGGCAGCACUCGUCUCUUUGGGAUAUACUUGCUCCAAGGCCGUGACCUUGUAAUGCAAGCGCCUGUGCUGUGGAGUGCCCGCGUGAACGAAUAGCACCUGCACUGUCGGGUACUGGGCACUGCCGACCAAGACACUCUACUUCGGAUGCGCUAGAAUGUCCCGUAAAAGUUUAAACUUCAGAGUGUCGUUUCAGCGCGCAGCUACGCUGCACGUUGGUGCCUCAGUAUUUCUCGCAGAUGGAGACGCUGUUGCUUCAAAUUCUGAGGUUGCUAUGUUUCUUUUCCCUCGGGUGGCGUUGCAUGCAGUGUAUGUUUUCUGCUGCAGUUCCUUAAAUACAAAGUUGUUUCUGCACUUUAUCCGAGCGUUCGCAUCUGCAACGAAGCCAAGGGCCUUUUGAUUCUUAGAUCGAGCGUAUAAAGGCCUGCGACAACCCUUCAACUCUGUCGCUGUCACCACGUUCCAUGUAUUUCGCUCGCUCACCGUGAGAGCUGUCCCAAGUUUGUCGAGGGCUUCCUUCGGGUCGUCGUUUUGAAUAUGCUUGAACACUUCCUGCCCACUGAUGUAUCGAAAUGCUUGAGCAAUGAUGGCAUUGCAUAUUUGCUUCAUCAGCACAACGAGACGUGCCGGAGUAUUGUAAAACGCAGAGUACUCCCAUAUCAACAAAAUAUUUUGAAGAAUCGGCUCAAACAGAUUCUCGAGUGUCGUGAAAUCGAUCGUCUCGUCCAUCAGUCGCAGCAACCUGCAGUCCAGCGUUUGCAAAAACCACGGUGUUUGUGGCACACGCAGUGGUUGUCAGUGCUCUCCUCCAUGCAACAAGAGGACAAAAAACCCAAACGAAACGGGUUCAGAACAACGGCCGUGGGCCAUGUCGUUCUUCGGGGAGGACUAAGACGACACGAGCGGAGAGCUGUGGUCCGGAGCCGUAUACCGUCGUCAGUCGGCAGACAAAAGCGCCGGUUCCCGCAGAUUUGUUGAUGGAUCAGUUUUGCCGCCUGUCGCCUCGUGGGUGCGCAGAGACGGCAGGACUUUCUGCGAUCCUUGGAGACACACAGACGACAGCUGGGAAGCUGACGGCCUUGUUGUCACGUCGAGCACUCAGAUCUCAGACUGCCUCCUCACUGACCAGCGACGACGCUCUUCUAGCGGUAGAGUUGCUGGCUAGCGUUGAUGUCGGACCGUGUGACGGGGGCAAGGAGGCGAUUUGAGGGCUCUCACCGUCGUUCAGAGAUUGAGCAGGAUUCUUCUCCAAGACAAGGCGAAUUUGCUUUGUCCACAUGAUCACCGAGUCCUCGUAACGAUGCAACUUUUCUGAAGUCGAACUGUCGCUGGGAAGGUCAUCGGGCGGUGUGGGCAAGAGGGUGCGCCCGCUUAUCACCCCGAGCGUUGCGUGCAGUUUUGCCAGGAAUCUGUUGUACUUUUCAAGUAUGUCUUUCGUUACAAAAUGUGAGAGACCCGCCUGCAGGUCCGCACCACUGCAGAAUCACGGUCUGUUGAGAGAUGCAGUGUCGAGCAGCGGCAUAUAUAGAUAUAUAAACAGUCUCUGUCAUACAGAGGGCCUCACGUCAUUCUGACACUCUUUGAAUAUUGGCUUUAUGGCCGAGGCUUCGAGGCCUUGUAGGCAGGUGAACAGACGAUGUGCGUGUUGCGCGUGUCAAGAGGGGCUGGUGUUACUUUGAGCAUAUUGAGACAUACUCAGAUUGACAGGAACUGCUCACAGCUUCAGAUAGUACGGGUGCCUGAGGGAUCCGUCUUUGCAGAUAUAGGAGAGAUAUGUGCGUUUUCGUCUUUAGGAUUAUCCGCAGGUUCACCUGUCUUCGUGUCGUACGUGUUGCAUGUGUAGCGAUGAGAAACGUGCCGAGGAAACUGACAAGCAAACAGGUGUCCUACUUGAUUAGCGGGGUUUGACAAAGUGCUGAGGUAGACGGCGCUGCACAUCUCAUGGAGCAUCUCCAUGAUUGCAGCAGUGACUUCUAGGCAAAGAAUCGUCGAGUCGACAUUUUCCUGCAGAAUUGGCAACGCAUGGCAGGUGCGGUCAAAACCAAUAGCAUCGCUGUAUCGGUUUUCGUGCGGGAGUGGAAUGGUUCUCGGGCUGUUUCGCGUGUGAAGCGAAGCGUAUAAGCCGCCAUGCUACAGGACUAUGAGUGUCCCUAUCCGCUGUCGAGCACGAAUUAUUGAAUCCUUCGGAUCAUAAAGGGUCUAAAUCUUGCCCAGUGGUCUGCAGCACAAGGCUUCCAUCUUCUGCUUCUGCAUCGACACCUCCUGCCACUGGGAAAGGGGAACCAGCGUAAGCCGAACUCACAGCUGUGAUGACAACGUUUCUCUCAGCCCGCAGCAUUAACAGGUUCUUCUUUUUGGCCAUCUGAGAGGGUUGGGGAACUUCGUGAACCGAGGCAACGACAGUGUCAGGUGUGCUUCCCGACUGAAACAGGACGAAAUGGUUCUCAGCGUCGUCCAAGAAGUUGACCACAGCUUUCCUGUUUUUAGCAACCAAACCACAAGAGGGCCACAGGCGCACUUCGCUUAGUCGGCGCAGAGGGUGAUGAGUUCGAGCUACAUUAGUUUCGCUCGGAGUCAAUAUUCAAUUGCGACGAGUAUAGGGAUAUUUGCGAGUACAUAGUCUCUUUCGCUGGACAACAUCCAAAUGAUUCCACAUUUAAAAGAUUUUUCAUUGAUACUAAAAUUGAGUUCAAAACACGUUGGUCUUGGUGAACUAUCAACACAGGGCAAUUCUUGAUAGUCAUGGAGAACACAAUUGCAUACAGAAGACUUGGAAAACUACAACCGGAAUUGUGUGGCAAAGGAAAGGACGAUCAGAGCUAUGGGCUAUGCGAAGCCGGCCGUGCACAAAAGACGAGUGGGGAGCAUCCUCAGGAUCGAUUCAAGAUUUGAACCUAUGAAAAAUAUGGAAAAACAAAUACCAUCAUCCCUGACAAUUUGUCCAACGGCAUCCGCUGGCUGUCCCCACAAGUGCCGUUGCAGGCGGGAUGAGAAGGUACACUAAGGAUCCUACAGAC